AUUGAACGCUGGCGGCAGGCCUAACACAUGCAAGUCGAACGAGUGGCGGACGGGUGAGUAAUGUAUGGGAAACUGCCUGAUGGAGGGGGAAAACUACUGGAAACGGUAGCUAAUACCGCAUACCAUCGGAUGUGCCCAGACGGGAUUAGCUAGUGGGGGUGGUAAAGGCUCACCUGGGCGACGAUCCCUAGCUGGUCUGAGAGGAUGACCAGCCACACUGGAACUGAGACACGGUCCAGACUCCUACGGGAGGCAGCAGUGGGGAAUAUUGGACAAUGGGCGAAAGCCUGAUGCAGCCAUGCCGCGUGUAUGAAGAAGGCCUUCGGGUUGUAAAGUACUUUCAGCGGGGAGGCGUUACCCACAGAAGAAGCACCGGCUAACUCCGUGCCAGCAGCCGCGGUAAUUC
rnacentral:rRNA from 1 species